rfam:Oryza rufipogon genomic scaffold, chr01
AAAAAAAACAAACCCUGGUUUCCGUGUCCAACAUUUGACCAUCCGUCUUAUUUGAAAAAAUUAUAAAAAAAAUUAAAAAGAUAAGUCACACAUAAAAUAUUAAUCAUGUUUUAUCAUCUAACAACAAUGAAAAUACGAAUUAUAAAAAAAUUUCAUAUAAGACGGACAAUCAAAGUUGGACAUGAAAACUCGGGUUUGCCUUUUUU